rnacentral:misc_RNA from 1 species
UUUCCGUAGGUGAACCUGCGGAAGGAUCGUUACAGAGUUCAUGCCCUCACGGGUAGAUCUCCCACCCUUGAAUAUUUAUACCUUAGUUGCUUUGGCAGGCCGUGGAAACACCAUGGGCUCCGGCUUAUGCGUGCCUGCCAGAGGAAACAAACUCUGUUUUUAGUGAUGUCUGAGUACUAUAUAAUAGUUAAAACUUUCAACAACGGAUCUCUUGGUUCUG